rnacentral:rRNA from 1 species
UGACGUGUGCGCUUGUCUCGAGGAUUUAGCCAUGCAAGCCAAGCGAAGCGAUAAGCGGAGCGGCGGACGGCUCAGUAAUACGGUUAUGAUUUACCCGGGGCUUGUACACGGAUAACCAUGGCAAGCUAUGGCUAAUACGUGGGAGCGCUACUGCAGCGGGGAGGCGCGAGUAGCGGACAGGGAGCGGCCGCGGCUAAGUUUCCGGCCUAUCAGCUUGAAGGUAGGGUAAUGGCCUACCUUGGCGGUGACGGGUGACGGGAGAUGAGAGUCUGAUUCCGGAGAGGGAGCCUGAGAAACAGCUCCCACGUCUAAGGACGGCAGCAGGCGCAAAACUUACCCAAUCCCCUGGCGGGGGAGGUAGCGAAGAGACGUGGGCUUUUGCCACGGGCCGCAGGCCAAAGGAGUGCGGCGGGACUGGAGGGCAAGUCUGGUGCCAGCAGCCGCGGUAAUUCCAGCUCCAGUAGCGCAUAUAUUUGUUGCUGCAGUUAAAACGUCCGUAGUUUGCCCCUAUGGCGCGGCGAGGAAAAUGGCGUUCUCAAAGCGGCAGGAGGCGCGGCAGGCCGGGGAGAGAGGAACAGAUGACGGCAGCAGGAUCCUGCGGCGAGAGGUGAAAAUUGAGGACCCGCGGGGGACUGUCUGAGGCGAAGGCGGCUGCCGAGGAUGUAUCCGUUGAUCAAGGACGUAAGCCGGAGGAUCGAAGAUGAU